rnacentral:lncRNA from 1 species
AUUUAAGUUCUUCUUUUCCUAUUUUUAUGCCUUUAAUUUCUUUUGUCUGUCUAAUUGCUCUGGCCAGUAUUUCGAGAACUAUAUUGAAUAGAAGUGGUGAGAGAGGGCAUCCCUGUCUUGUUCCAGAUUUUAGAGGGAAUGCCUUCAGUUUUUCUCCAUUUAGAAUGAUGCUAGCCUGAGGCUUAGCAUAUAUAGCUUUUACAAUGUUGAGGUAAGUUCCUGUUAUCCCUAGUUUUUCUAAUGUUUUGAACAUAAAGCGAUGCUGUACUUUGUCGAAUGCUUUUUCUGCAUCUAUCGAGAUGAUCAUAUGGUUCUUAUCUUUAAGUCUAUUGAUGUGGUGAAUAACGUUUAUUGAUUUCCGUAUAUGAACCAGCCUUGCAUCCCAGGGAUGAAUCCUACUUGAUCAUGGUGCAUGAUCUUUUUGAUAUGUUUUUGUAUACGAUUUGCCAGAAUUUUAUUGAGGAUUUUUGCAUCUAAAUUCAUUAGGGAUAUUGGUCUGAAGUUUUCUUUCUUUGAGGUGUCUUUAUCUGGUUUGGGAAUCAGGGUGAUAUUGGCUUCAUAGAAUGAAUUUGGAAGUUCUCCCUCUUUUUCUAUCUCCUGAAAUAGAUUGUGGAGUAUUGAUAUUAGUUCUUCUUUAAUUGUAAAACUCUGCUGUAUAUCCAUCCAGUCCUGGGCUUUUCUUGGUUGGUAGUCUUUUGACGGCUUCUUCUAUUUCCUCACUUGAUAUUGGUCUGUUUAGGUUGUUUAUAUCUUCCUGACUCAAUCUGGGUAGUUCAUAUGUCUUAAGGAAUUUAUUGAUGCCUUCAUUAUCUUCUAUUUUAUUAGAGUAUAGGGUUUCAAAAUAAUUUCUAAUUAUCUUCUGUAUUUCUGAAUUGUCUGUUGUGAUGUUGCCUUUUUCAUCCCGUAAGCUAGUAAUUUGGGUUCUCUCUCUUCUUCUCUUUGUUAGCAUGGCUAGUGGUCUAUCAAUCUUAUUUAUUUUUUCAAAGAACCAACUUUUAGUUUUGUCAAUUUUUUCGAUUGUUUCUUUUGUUUCGAUUUCAUUGAUUUCAGCUCUAAUUUUAAUUAUUUCUUGCCUUCUACUGUAUUUGCUGCUGAUUUGUUCUUCUUUUUCUAAGGCUUCGAGGUGUAGUGUGAGGUUAUUUGUUUGUUGGCUUUUGCUUCUUUUAAGGAAUGAACUCCACGAAAUGAAUUUUCCUCUUAGUACUGCUUUCAUAGUGUCCCAGAGAUUUCGAUAUAUUGUGUCUGAGUUUUCAUUUACCUCUAAGAAUUUUUUAAUUUCCUCUUUGAUGUCUUCUGUAACCCUUUGUUCAUUCAGUAGCAUAUUGUUUAAUCUCCAUGUGAUGUAGGAUUUUUCCUUUCUCAUUUUAUUAUUGAUUUCCAAUUUCAUUCCAUUAUGAUCUGAUAAAAUGCAUGGUAGUAUCUCAACUCCUUUGUAAUUGCUAAGAUUUGCCCUGUGACAUAAUAUAUGGUCUAUUUUUGAGAAGGAUCCAUGUGUUGCUGAGAAGAAAGUGUAUCCGCUUGAUGUUGGGUGGUAUAUUCUGUAUAUAUCAAUUAAGUCUAAAUUAUUAAUUGUAUUAUUGAGCUCUAUGGUUUCUUUGUUCAACUUUUGUUUGGAAGAUCUGUCCAGUGGUGAGAGAGGUAUGUUAAAAUCUCCCAUGAUUAUUGUGUUGUGGUCUAUUUGACUCUUGAACUUGAGAAGAGUUUGUUUGAUG